GACGCAGGAUCAGAGAAUUAUAGCAAGCUCGAUGCCAGCCAAACCAUUUCAUUGCAAAGACACAAUUACAAAGGCUCGUAUGGACUGCAUCUGUAGAGAUGGCUGCUCUGACACAUGUCCAUGUCCUUUGUCUGAACUGUCAUAGAGAGUGGUGGCCCUGAAUACACUCCUUGUACGCAUGUCCAAAUGCUGCUGUGUCUUCAGAACCAGGACACCUGCAGUAUUACCAACAGGUGCCAGUGACUUCUGGAAAACACAUGACUGUAGGUUCAUGGCCCUCACACUCUGCCUACAACCCUUCUUCUUCAGCCAAUCUCUUCAUGUCUCAUUUUGUGUGUAGUUCAACAACUUUAAUAAGACUUGCUUGUUUAAAGGUGCACACACUGAACCCUGGGCAGGAGAGGAUGCCCCGAGAUGUAAUCUAAGUGGCUUCCAAAGGCAAGGCAUACAUACUCUCUUGGCUCCCUCAUUCCUCCCUGUUAGCCUGCUCUAAAGACCUUCCUUUCUGAAGAAAACUCCCCAUAUAACGCAUCAAGCACUUCAGAUGAUGAAGAUGUCUCCAAGUGCCUCAUGAGAAAGAGUCUUGCUGGAGAAGG
rnacentral:lncRNA from 1 species